UUGAUGUGAAUUAAUUAUUAGAUUCUACUCAUUUUUCGUAAUUUAUAUUUAUUUCAGGGAGUAGAACAAAAAUAUCACAAUCAAGGCCAAUUUGACAAUUAUCAAGAAAGAGUUCAAGUAGCAGGCAUCUAGGGACAUUUUUGGAAUAUCAAACCACAACCCUUCUUGGUAAUUGGCCCGCAGACAGCAUUAAAAGGAGG
rnacentral:lncRNA from 1 species